AUACAAUUAAGUAGAUAUGUGUGCCUCUAAUUUUUUUAUAUGAUGGCAAAAUAUAUAAUGAAUAGUGUGCCCUACAGUGGCAUUAAAGGAACUGCGCAGAAAAUGCAUGCUGCACUCCUUAGCCCUUUUUCAACCAAAAGAGUUUGCGCUCUCCUGGCAUUUGUCGUUGCUAAGUAAUCAUGGGUCACGCCGGCCGUUGAGUGGAGGAGGGGUAGGUGGGGUAUUAAGGUGGCUGAUAUGCAAGGUAUGUCACUGCUCGCCAAAAGACAACCACAGAAAGGUUCUAAACUGGACAAAGUUUAUUUGGAGCCCCUUAAUGGGAUAAAACAUAAAAAUACUUGUAAUGUAGACAUUUACUGAAUUCUCCCUAAAAUCCUACCAAUUAAUUUAAUUGAUUUCUGUUUAUUUUGUGUAAUUUGCAAGAUCUUUUGUUAACAUGAUUUUGGGUGACAUUUUUGACAAUCUCCGUCGUGAAGUUGACGUUAUUUUGGUGCUCCUCUUUAGUUCUUAUGAGCACUUGGGAGAGGAGGUGUACAAGGUUUAUGUCAUGCCUGAUGGUGACAUUUGAUCUUUGAUAUAUCGCAGACCACUUGGGAAAUAAACCUCCUUGAGAUCUCCAGAGCUGUUGGUUGUCCGGUCUUUUCUAUUACACACAACGCAUGUCUCUAUAACUUCAGUCGAUUUGGAAAAACAACAAUGGGUGGUUACAGCAUCAUCCACUUCAAACAAUUAUCAACAAAUAUUUUUGGAAUCUUCAUGUGUCAACUCAGCCAUAAAAAAAUAAUAUUCCAACGGAGAUGCAGAUGUGGAGGUGGAUGGUGGGGACAGACUUUGUCACCCUACAGGAUGUUCUUGUUUGCUUUAGGGGCAUCUGCCAUACUUGUAUUUGGAUUCAAAGAGAAUCCAAAUAUAACAUUUCUCCAUGAGAACAUCGAUGGCAACCAGCGGGUUUUCCCUGAAGCAAAUACAUGCAGCAUGACUUUGAAGUUGCCCAUUGGACAAGAAUAUGACGAGUUUUGUCAUUUUAUGACAGCUGCUCUUUUACUAUCUCCAACGUUUGGGUUAGCAUAAAAGCAUG